rnacentral:rRNA from 1 species
CUUCCUACGGGAGGCAGCAGUGAGGAAUAUUGGUCAAUGGACGCAAGUCUGAACCAGCCAUGCCGCGUGCAGGAUGACGGCUCUAUGAGUUGUAAACUGCUUUUGUACGAGGGUAAACCCCGAUACGUGUAUCGGGUUGAAAGUAUCGUACGAAUAAGGAUCGGCUAACUCCGUGCCAGCAGCCGCGGUAAUACGGAGGAUCCGAGCGUUAAUCGGAAUUACUGGGCGUAAAGCGCUCGUAGGCGGUAUGUCAAGUCAAGGGUGAAAUCCCCGCGCUCAACGUGGAAACUGCCUUUGAAACUGGC